rnacentral:rRNA from 1 species
UCGCCUGUUUAUCAAAAACAUAGCUUUUAGCCACACCCAUAUUAAAAGUAACGCCUGCCCUGUGGAAACCCUAAACGGCCGCGGUAAAUACCGUGCAAAGGUAGCACAAUCACUUGUCCUUUAAAUGAGGACCCGUAUGAAAGGCAACAUGAGAGAGGACCUGUCUCCUAAGGUAGGCCAAUGAAAUUGAUUAAUCAGUACAAAAGCUGACAUUUACCAGCAAGACAAAAAGACCCCUUGGAACUUUUAACAAACCAUUAACAAAAUUUAAUGAAAGUUUCGGUUGGGAUAACCCUAGAAAAACUAAACACCUAGUUUACCUCACAAGACCAACAAGUCUAGUGUACUAAAUUUGACCCAGUCAAACUGACUAGCGAAACAAGCUACCCUGGGGAUAACAGCGCCACCUUCUUUAAAAGUCCUUAUUAACAAGAAGACCUACAACCUCAAUGUUGGAUCACGGUUCCCAAACGGUGCAACAGCUGUCAAAGGUUCAUUUGUUCAACGACUAACACCCUACCUGAUCUGAUUUCACACCGGA